AUUCGUGCCCGGGCCCACAGCAGUCAGGGAUGUGAGGACCCCCACAUGCGAGCGCCCCCGAACUCACCCCCCUCCCCAAAGAGCGCAUGCCCAAAGGAGACUCUGCGAGCGAGCCGGGAAGGAUGGAUUUUCAGUCCAACUGUCUCCGCGAUCCCAAAUAGCCUGGGUAAGAUCACUUCAGGAUCAUAGCAUCAUGGGAUUCCAAGAGAAAUGAACCUCAGAAGCCAACACAUCUACCCUGUCUCCAUUUUCCUGAGCAAAAACUGAAGUCCAGGAAGUUUGAAUGUCUUGGCCAGUCACAAAGCUUGGAAUAUAAUUCGUUGAUUCAGGAGACAUGUAAGAUUUGUGGAUCCUGUAACAGAACACCACCAGUCCCAGACAAAGCAGCUUCAGAGACAGGAUAUCUGAGAAGAGCCUUUUAUCAAAGGCUGCACCUUUAAGAGGCGACCAAGAGACAGGCUGAUUUUCUGCUUUUUCCUGGGCUGAAGGGACGCCCCAUGGUGCUGGGUGGGCAACACUCCCUGAACCUUUCUUCUGACUCCUCCCUUCUGGGAAAGGGCCAUCCCAAAGGCCCUCUUCCCAAUAGCCCAUGUGUGACCCUGGGAAAAGGCCUUGAAAAUAAUGAAAUGAAGGGUUGGGGUGGAAGUCUGGAAUCCAUUUCUGUCUUACACAGGAAGAGAAUUAGGGAUAGAAUAACAAAGGGCAGAGUGAAAAGAAACCUGGGCAGGCUCUCGCUGACAUUCAAAUCAUGGAAGGAUUUUUUUUCUUUCUUUUCUCCUGGACCUAAAAACAAUACUUUGUGUGCCACAAAAACCUUUCAUCUGAGCCCCAAAGCUCCUCUGAAAUAGUUCAGGGUUGGCGGGUAACAAGUACUGGGCGCUCCCUGAGCAGCAGGAGGAGAAUGGAGAACCUUCUUAGUCUUUAUGUAUAGACCAACAAAAGCAAAGAUGUUGCCCAGGUAGAGUGUAAGCCCUUGAGGGCAGGGCUGUUUCCUGUCUGGUCUAUUCCAGGGUCAACAACAACAUGUUUAUUUCAUCCAAUAAAAUGCAACCUUCACCAAA